rnacentral:rRNA from 1 species
CUUUGCGUGGAGGUGCCUUACUACGGCGAGUGAAGCGGCAAAAGCUCAAAUUUGAAAUCUGGUACCUUCGGUGCCCGAGUUGUAAUUUGGAGAGGGCAACUUUGGGGCCGUUCCUUGUCUAUGUUCCUUGGAACAGGACGUCAUAGAGGGUGAGAAUCCCGUGUGGCGAGGAGUGCGGUUCUUUGUAAAGUGCCUUCGAAGAGUCGAGUUGUUUGGGAAUGCAGCUCUAAGUGGGUGGUAAAUUCCAUCUAAAGCUAAAUAUUGGCGAGAGACCGAUAGCGAACAAGUACAGUGAUGGAAAGAUGAAAAGAACUUUGAAAAGAGAGUGAAAAAGUACGUGAAAUUGUUGAAAGGGAAGGGCAUUUGAUCAGACAUGGUGUUUUGUGCCCUCUGCUCCUUGUGGGUAGGGGAAUCUCGCAUUUCACUGGGCCACCAUCAUGUUUGUUGGCUGGAUAAAUCCGUAGGAAUGUAGCUUGCCUCGGUAAGUAUUAUAGCCUGUGGGAAUACUGCCAGCUGGAACUGAGGACUGCGACGAAAUGCCAGGAUGCUGGCUAAAUGGUUAUAUGCCGCCCGUCUUGAACACGGACCA